CCUGAGGGGGAAAAGGUGGCAGGUUCUGCAAGAUACAUGGAAGAAACUACCUGCCAAGCACCUUGGGAACCUUUGAGCACCAAUUAACAAGUAAUAAUUUGCACUUUUAGAAAGGGAAAGGAUAACUACACCAAAUCUAGAGAUUAUAUAUCAGCUUCAUAAGAAAAAAGUUGAAAUAAUGGGAUCUUUCUCUUAAUGUUUAUUAGCCAGCAUGGCCUUUGGGGAAAAGAGUUGCCCACAGGUGUGCUGAGGUUGUGCUGGAACUGCACCAGCUGUGCAAGACCAAGGAAGGUGUUCAAAAAGGUUUGCAUGGAGACAGCCAGGUUUUAAUAUUCAGUCCUUUAAUAAUAAACUUCUAAAUGUACGUGAAGCUGUAGGAAACCCCGACAAAGUGAACUAAAGACAACAACUUCCGCAUAACACUCACACUAUCAAGUGUGCUGCUAAUGCUGUCAGCUAGCUAACCACGUUAACGACACAGAGUGAAGGCCGAGACGAGCCAGGCAGCUCCAACAGGAAAUAGAACCAAUAUGGACUUCAAGUAAUUCUCCCGCACAAAGAGAAUGACCUUCAUCUGAAUGCCGCCAUCGGCUGAGAUUCUGCCACAGACUGUGGAUUCGCCUGAUGAUUAGAAAUGAAGGUAUCACUUACUGGUACCCUUUGAGGGUAACCAAAGCUGCAUGACUCAACAUUAGGAAGCAAAAUUGUAGGAUGUCCAGUCCAAGAACACCUUCAGAGUUCAAACAUACCUGAGGGCCAGCUCUGCCAACGACUUCAUCAAACUGUGGAAAAGACAGACAUUACCAUCAGGUCCAGGGAAGCCAUCCAGGCCUGGUUGCCCAUCUCUUCCAGCAGGACCUUCAUCACCCUUCUCACCUGGUCUGCCGGGCAAGCCGGGGUUACCCUGCAGAAGAACACUCAAUUUGAGCUGGUGGCAAACAAAAUUAUAAACGAAGAAGAAGAAACUGGCAGCAAACAGGAAACAGAGCAGGAACUUGAACUUCUAAAUCUUGCUUCCGUGACUUCAUGUGGAACACAUCAAGCUAGAUUUGAUGUUUCGCAAGAAGGAGGGCAAAACUUAAUGCAAAGGGCGAUGAUAAUCAGUGUCGACUGUUGGUUGGAUGGAUGUUGGUCUCUAACAACUAAUUACAAGAGUAAACUAUUUAUAUGGACUUAAA